rnacentral:misc_RNA from 1 species
AGUAUCAUGGGUCCCACCAACUUGCACUUUCAUUGGGCGGGAUAAAUUCCCUUAAGCAACUUCACGUUGCAUGGGCUGGACUAGCCAUGCAAAUUGGCCUCACGCCCCCACUUGCCUUGAUGCUCUCUCGCCACCUAGCAACCCCAUGCAACCAAUGUCCCAUGUGAUGGCCAUUUAGUGCGCCUCACAUGCUUCCCACUUUCACACUUGGGUCCUCACGUCCAUGCAUGGUUCCUCUUCACGUUGCAUGUUUUCUUGGCCACUUUGGG